rnacentral:tRNA from 1 species
GGGGAUUUUGCUCAGCGGUAGAGCGCUUGCCUAGCAAGCGCAAGGAUCUGGGUUCAGUCCCCA